CUCCGGUUGAUAGGCAGGAGGGCCUUUUAACCUUCUGAGACUGUUUUCUAUCUCCCCUCCUUCGUCCCUUGCAGCCAUCUGUCUUGAGUUUAUCGCACUGGAUAAACUGCAUUUAGAGAAGUUUUGUUUGGAUGGGGAUUUUUGCAUGCUAUGCAAUUUAUUUAGGCCAAACUUUAAAAAAAAACAGCUAAUACGGCUGGGAUAUUUUAAAAAGCCUGGGAUAGUAUCUCUUUCCAACAGUAUAUUGUAAUUUUUAUUUCAUUAGACUUCUUCUUCUUUGCUUAAGACCAAGCCAAACUGGUGGAGAGGUGAAAUAUAGGGUGAGAGUGCUAAAGGUUACAGUAUGUGUAAAAAGACAGUAUAAAAUGUAAAGUUUUAUAAGAGUGCAGGGAAAUUACUUCUUGGGGCCACUUCAAUGUGAUGGAAAAUAAAAUGGAAAAAAAUGUUUUGCAGCUACCUCUAUACAACACAAGUCCAAAUGUAAAGAUGUUGGUGCAUCUUGAUUAUAUCAUAGGGCUCUUUUUAUCCAUCAAAAAAUGUCUGUGCUUGGAGUUUUGCACCAGUAUGGCUGCAUUGUGCUGCCAAUGGUUUUACCCCCCCCCCAUCUUCCUUUUAGAGUCUAAUAUAUGUCAUUGAACAUUAAGAAAACAAAAAGUUUUGCUUUUGAAGUACUUCUAUAAAAUGUUAUUAAACGUGUAAAGACAAAAAUUCUGUUACAUUACAGCGGUUUUCAUCCCAGCCAGAAAUGACCAGUCUUGCCCCAGUAUGUACACCCCAUCUUUUGGGCUCCAUUAUCCUUUCCUGAGUGGUUGCAUGAUGUGUGUAGCAGGAUUACAUUACUAAGAUACCCCUUCUCUCUUGGAAGGAAUCCUCAGUCAUGGCUGAGACUGGGAAGGUCACCUACAUGAUGGAAAUUCUUGCUGCUUGUCCCAUGGAUUGCCAUGAUCCCCAGCUGAUGGAGCUG